GAAAUGCGAUAAGUAAUGUGAACUGCAGAAUUCAGUGAAUCAUCGAAUCUUUGAACGCACAUUGCGCCCGCCAGUAUUCUGGCGGGCAUGCCUGUUCGAGCGUCAUUUCAACCAUCAAGCCCCCGGCUUGUGUUGGGGACCUGCGGCUGCCCGCAGGCCCUGAAAAACAGUGGCGGGCUCGCUGUCACACCGAGCGUAGUAGCAUACAUUCUCGCUCAGGGCGUGCUGCGGGUUCCGGCCGUUAAACGACCUUCAUAACCCAAGGUUGACCUCGGAUCAGGUAGGAAGACCCGCUGAACUUAAGC
rnacentral:misc_RNA from 1 species